rnacentral:misc_RNA from 1 species
AUUUAACUUUAAUAAUUUUUAGCUUAAUAAUUAAAUUCCUUAGCAAUAAUUUUAUUUGUUAUUUGUCAGUUUCUCUUACGUCACACGUAAUUCAAAACGAAUUCAUUCACACUGUUUGUCUAUACGUAACUCAAUUUUUAUACAUGUCCUAUUGCAAAUAACAAGUAAAACGUUUUGGAUCGUUUUCAUCUCACAACACAUGUUCUGUAGUACAUACAUCCAACAGAAUAAUCAUUGAAAGUAAAUGUGCAAUAUGAACAUUAUAUCGAUUUAAUUUUGAUAGUGUUUGUAUUAAACUGUUAAUAAUAUCGCAGAAAUAUUUUUAUACAAUUAAAAUAACACUAAAAAUGCUUAUCUACCUCAUCAGUGAUUAUAUAUAUAAAU